rnacentral:lncRNA from 1 species
UGUAACCUAUGGAGGAGGAGCUAAAGGCAAAGUGGUUGGACGUGGAACACUCAGCAUUGAGGGACUUCCAAAACUUUCAAAUGUCUUACAUGUUGAAGGAUUGGGGUCAAAUCUCAUCAGUAUUAGUCAAUUGUGUGAUGAUGAUCUACGUGUUCAAUUUGAUAAAUACUGUUGUUCUGUGUUUGAUAAUCAAAAUCAUUGUGUACUGACAGGUUCCAUGUCAAUGGAUAAUUGUUAUCAAACAGGUGACACCAUCUCAUGCAAGAGCUCAAGAGUAA